rnacentral:rRNA from 1 species
UACGUAGGGGGCGAGCGUUGUCCGGAUUCAUUGGGCGUAAAGAGCUCGUAGGCGGCUUGUCAAGUCGGGUGUGAAAACUCCAGGCUCAACCUGGAGACGCCACUCGAGACUGUCAUGGCUAGAGUCCGGUAGGGGAUCACGGAAUUCCUGGUGUAGCGGUGAAAUGCGCAGAUAUCAGGAGGAACACCGAUGGCGAAGGCAGUGAUCUGGGCCGGUGACUGACGCUGAGGAGCGAAAGACGUGGGGAGCGAACAGG